rnacentral:misc_RNA from 1 species
AGCAAAAGAAAAGUCAUUAUCUUUUUGCAUUUGAAAAAUGGUCAGAAAAUAAAACUUUUAUUGUAAAGAAAAACAGCAAAGAACAAUUUAAAGUUACUCGUUUAGAAAAAUGACACAUGUGAAUAUGAAGCUAGUUUUGUUUAGAAAUCUUUUCUAGAAAAUUAUUUUAGUUCUCACGCCCACACAGUCUCAAGGAGCAGUCCAAAAACACAAAAUUUAUAAAAGCUAGCACUAAUUAAAUUCAGAGCAAUUUGUAAAAUAAGAAACAAAUCCAUGGAUAUAAUGACAGUCUCAUGUAAGAAGACUAAACACAGCCUGUUCUACAAAUAAUCUCUGCAUGUUUGGACCCUUUUAUUUAUUUUUGAAGUACAGACUGUUACAAAGCAAAAAUGAAAGCAGAUACAAAAUUACCAAUAUGUUUCUCUUCAGAUUAAGCUUUUGCUUAACAAGUUUUAAUGCACAUAUCCAACAUCAAAUUUCAGGUGCAGGCAAGUACUGUGCAUGUACGUGAAAGAGAGAGAGAGAGAGAG